rnacentral:rRNA from 1 species
UACGUAGGGGGCUAGCGUUGUCCGGAUUUAUUGGGCGUAAAGAGCGUGUAGGCGGCCAGGUAGGUCUGCUGUGAAAACUCGAGGCUCAACCUCGAGACGUCGGCGGAAACCAUCUGGCUAGAGUCCGGAAGAGGAGAGUGGAAUUCCUGGUGUAGCAGUGAAAUGCGUAGAGAUGUGGAGGAACACCGAUGGCGAAGGCAGCCUCCUGGGCCAGCACUGACGCUCAUGCACGAAAGCGUGGGGAGCAAACAGG